rnacentral:rRNA from 1 species
CGGGUGAGUAACGCGUGGAUAAUCUACCCAUUGGUUCGGAAUAACAGUUGGAAACGACUGAUAAUACUGGAUAAUAUGGCAACGUUAAAGGUGGCCUCUGCUUGCAAGCUACUGCCAAUGGAUGAGUCCGCGUCUCAUUAGCUAGACGGUAGGGUAACGGCCUACCGUGGCAACGAUGAGUAGCAGGCCUGAGAGGGUGGCCUGCCACACUGGGACUGGAACACGGCCCAGACUCCUACGGGAGGCAGCAGUGGGGAAUAUUGCGCAAUGGGGGAAACCCUGACGCAGCGACGCCGCGUGGAGGAUGAAGGUUUUCGGAUCGUAAACUCCUGUCAGAAGGGAAGAAACCUGCAAAAAGUAAUAUGUUUUGCAGCUGAUGGUACCUUCGGAGGAAGCACCGGCUAAUUCCGUGCCAGCAGCCGCGGUAAUACGGAAGGUGCAAGCGUUAAUCGGAAUCACUGGGCGUAAAGCGCUCGUAGGUGGCUUUGUAAGUCAGGUGUGAAAGCCCACGGCUCAACCGUGGAAUUGCACUUGAUACUGCAUUGCUUGAGUUCGGGAGAGGGUAGUGGAAUUCCAGGUGUAGGAGUGAAAUCCGUAGAGAUCUGGAGGAACACCAGUGGCGAAGGCGACUACCUGGACCGAUACUGACACUGAGGAGCGAAAGCGUGGGGAGCAAACAGGAUUAGAUACCCUGGUAGUCCACGCUGUAAACGAUGGAUACUAGGUGUCGGG